AUCUGAGAAUUCAAAACCAGGAGUUUUCUUCAGCAUAACAAGAAACUGCAGGCAACUCAGGAAGAGGAUCAAAUAUGAAAACAUGCAUCAUCUGCCUAUGCAGUGAAAGUAUAUUUGACAGUUAUUUUGACAAUUAACAGAUCCACAAAAGGGAAGGAAAAGGGGGUCAUUAUCCAAUGAGCGAAAAGAAGAAUUUUGAGCAAUCAUGAGUACAACAUAGUUAUAACCGACUCACCAGUUCACCAUUAUAAACCCUUUCAACAGCCUUAUUGGCAGUUUUGGAUUUAACAACUGCAUCAUCAGGGUUGGCACUUCCAAGAUCAAACCCCGAAGCUCGCCACUGAGGUAAACCUCCAUCUAACACCCAAACUUUAUUGUGCCCAAAAACUCUAAACAUCCUAUUAAUUGAUAAUUGUAAAUGAAGUCAUCAUCUUGUGCAUAAGUAAAGGAUGUUAAUCGAGUAAAGCAACGAGCGGUCACUCUGGUUUGGAAAAGAAACCAAUACACUGAUAAGUCAUACGAACAUGGUAGCAUAUGCACACAAACAGAAGACAAUGGAAUCCUUGAUAA